GAUAAUUUGGAAUCGUAUUAGGUAAAGGCGUUUGUUAUACCAAAGAUGCGUAGUCGAAAGGCCACACUUCCACUGAAAUAAGGGGGAGACUCGUAAAGAGGCUGCAGUAGAGAGUUUUGUGCAAUGUAUGAAAGUAUGACACAGUAAUGUCGCAUAAGAUAGACCGUCUAAUGUACGUGCCAGCCGACGCGGUUAUACGUAAGGUCUGAAUUUUUGUUGAGAAAGGCGUAAAGGGUGUGUAGGUGGAUGAUAUAAGAUAUCGUGCGAGUUAAAGAGAGGAUAAAUAUAGCUUUUAUGUAACAAUAAAAUGUUUGAAGAUAAACGGGUAUUUCUAAGGCAAAAGCAUUUUACUACUUUUAACUAACACUCAAACACGAGAGUAGGGGGAGCAAACAGGAUUAGAUACCCUGGUAGUCUUUACUGUAAACUAUGGAGGUUAGAUUACAAGUUUAAUACGAAUACCGUAGUCUAUGAAAACUCAAAAGAUUCCGCCUGAAGAGUACAAUUGCAAGAUUAAAAUUUAAAAAAUUUGACGGUUUACUAUCUCAAUUAGAGGAGCGUGUAGUUUAAUUUGAUGGUCCGCAAUUAACCUUACCAAAACUUGAAUAUUUAAUACGUAAAUAAAUGAGUAUUAAUACAGGUAUUGCAUGGCCGUUGUCAGCUUGUGUUGUGAAAGAAAUAGAAAAAGCUCAACCUUAAACGAUAAUUUUUUAAAAUAACGUAAUAAGAGAUGACAACAGGUCCUUAUGAUCUAAAUGUUUUGGGCAACAUAUGCGCUACAAUCUUUUACACAAAGAGGUUUAUUACGAUUAAGUAAUCUCUAAAAUAAAAGUUCGGAUUGUUCUUUGAAAUGGGGGCAUAAAGUUGGAUUUAAUAGUAAUCGAAAAGUAGUGCGUUUCGGUGAAUCUGGUUAUAGUAUUCGUACAAAUCGCUCGUCACCUCCGCCAAGUAAAUAAUUUUUAAGUGUUUUAUUUAAGUUAGAGAGAUAAAU
rnacentral:rRNA from 1 species